UUUCAAGCUUUAAAUUGAUCUGGUAUUGC
rnacentral:piRNA from 1 species